AUUGAACGCUGGCGGCAUGCCUUACGCAUGCAAGUCGAACGGUAACAGGUCUUCGGAUGCUGACGAGUGGCGAACGGGUGAGUAAUACAUCGGAACGUGCCCAGACGUGGGGGAUAACGAGGCGAAAGCUUUGCUAAUACCGCAUACGAUCUAAGGAUGAAAGCAGGGGACCGCAAGGCCUUGUGCGUUUGGAGCGGCCGAUGGCAGAUUAGGUAGUUGGUGGGAUAAAAGCUUACCAAGCCGACGAUCUGUAGCUGGUCUGAGAGGACGACCAGCCACACUGGGACUGAGACACGGCCCAGACUCCUACGGGAGGCAGCAGUGGGGAAUUUUGGACAAUGGGCGAAAGCCUGAUCCAGCAAUGCCGCGUGCAGGAUGAAGGCCUUCGGGUUGUAAACUGCUUUUGUACGGAACGAAAAGGCUCUGGCUAAUACCUGGGGCACAUGACGGUACCGUAAGAAUAAGCACCGGCUAACUACGUG
rnacentral:rRNA from 1 species